GCGCCGAUAGUCUAGCCUGGUAGGACUUCUGUCUGCCACACAGAUGGCCUGGGUUCAAAUCCCGGUCGGCGCA
rnacentral:tRNA from 1 species